rnacentral:rRNA from 1 species
ACGGGGGGUGCAAGCGUUGUCCGGAAUCACUGGGCGUAAAGGGUGGGUAGGCGGACCGGUAAGUCCGGAGUGCAAUCUGUCUGCUUAACGGACAAUCCGCUUUGGAUGCUGUCGGUCUUGAGUCACGCAGAGGAAGGUGGAAUUCCUGGUGUAGCGGUGAAAUGUGUAGAUAUCAGGAGGAACACCGGUGGCGAAGGCGGCUUUCUGGGUGUAAACUGACGCUGAGCCACGAAAGCGUGGGGAGCAAACAG